AGAGAAAAACAACAUUGAAGGAAAUCAGCUGAAGAAAAUUGAGAUGAAAGCCAGUCCACGCCUCAGCAUCCUGAGGAAAUGUUCUUCCUUGAUGCUCUGAGCUCUCUAAGAAGUUACCACAAAACCAAACCCAUCAGAAGUUUGCAGGACGUCCUUGUUUAGAGCUGGGAAAUAAACCACGAAACAGCGCAAAGGAGAGUCCAGGCCUGCCAAUGCUUCCGCGAACUCCUCGCCCCGACCUCAUCCUUCUCCAGCUCCUACCUGCAGGCCUCAGGCCUCCUGACCUCCAGGCUCCUUACCCUCCCGCUGGCCUCUGCUCUACACUCAUCUUUGUGCCCUGCUUCCAAUCAUGCCAGGCCUCGGGGUCCCUGUCUCUAACUUCACCAUGAGACUCAGGUGCUUCUCUACACUCCACCCUCUCCAACACUGUUUGGAAUCUCAGGCUUGGUCCCAAUCCUAUGGGCUAACUUUGAAAAGACCGCUGUUCAUAAGGAGAGAGAAAGGAGGAAGAGAUGAGAAAGGAAGACAGAGAAAGAAACUCUAUGAUCACGGUUUUUCCAAAAUUCAUGGUUAAAUUAGAACUUACUAUGUGCAAAUAUAGAAGCACGGGUCCACAGAGUUCCAGAGAAUGAAUGCUGACGACUAAGCACCAGCCUCCACUCCCUGCCCCAUAGUGAGUAUCCCUCCUCUGUGUGCUCAUGCUGUGAAUCCCCCCCAUUCUACCACUUCUCCCCUCAUCACUGGCUUGCUGUAGGAUCAGAAGUUCCUUAAGAACAAGAACCUUCUCCCAGUGUAUCCCCAGCACCUAAUACAGAAGGUAAUAAGGAGGAGGCAUCUGCUAAACGCUUGUUGAAGGAGUGAAAUUGAGAGACCAGGAAGGGCCUGCAGGCAUUGUGGUGAGCCUGCCUGUUGUCCACGUGGCUGCAGCAAGCAAACAUGGGUUUUCCUUGGAAGGACUGUGGGCCAUCAACCCAUUAAUUGCCGAGUUGCUUCUAUCAGGGCAAGGCUGUGGAAUCCUGUUAUCCUAGACAAUGAGGUACAGGGUGCAAGCAGAUCUGUGUGCUGCUGUCUUCCGGUAAACGGACCAAGUUCUCACUUCCCAUCCUCCUCCCCAGUCUCACCCACCCGUGCUCCCAAGAGAGCAAUUCAUCAUGUCAGUGUCUGGUGUUUUCUUGAAGGCCUGUGCUAAAUAAAGUGGAUUGUUUAUAAAGUGGGA
rnacentral:lncRNA from 1 species